ensembl:lncRNA
GUUAAAACGGACUAGACAGUUACAAGUCAAGAUAUGAGUGUCAAGCUCUAGAUUUAACCAAGCGACAUGGAGAUCUAUGGGUCCAAAACUGAAGAGAGUGACGGCAGCUAUGACAUGUGGAUGAUUUGCCUUUGCUCUUGGUUCAUCCUGUCUUUCCUGGCUUCAUCUGGUCUACCUGACAACAAGGCAGGUUGCCUACUUCCCUUCAUUUGAUCCAGACUCCACCUGAUGUCUAAGUUCCCUCCCGAAGCAGGAACAAGGAGUUGACACUUUGGAAAGAAAACAGAAACUCAAAGGAUGAUACUGAUCCGGAACAUGUGACUCAUUAGUAGUCCAUGGGCGAGUGUAACCACAAAGUGAUAACUUGCAAAGGCGGAGUUUGACCCUCCGCACCCGAGCCUGGAACAUCAGUCCUGAUACCACGACUCCUCUCAGACAGUAGGAAGCCUGACAUGGGAGAGGGACAGAGAGCAAGGACUGCGGUCUGCUGCUCAGGACCAGGAGGAGUCCUCCACGAGAGGUAGAUGCCGAUUUCCAUGGGCAGAUGCCACAGGUUUCCAAACAUCACAGAACGAGACUCUUCAUUAUAGAGCAAAAUAUUUCAUGCGUGUAAAACUUUCCUGUUACUUGAACUAAAAACUUGUAAAAAGAAAAAAUAGUCUUAGCAAGAAAGCAGAAGACAAAUGUUAAAAAUGCAGUGAGCCUAUGUGUGCAGUGACUAUCACAGAAAGCCUCUGACAUCCUAGGUGCUAUUGUGUCUAAAUAUGGACUUUGUCCUACGAGUCAGAUUAGGACAUUCUGAAUUUCCUUUCCUGAAUUAUGUGUGCAUUAUCAUUAAAGGCUUCAUUCCUUGCUGAGCGUCAACUCAUGAGGGGCACGGGAUGGUGGAGGAACAGCAGCUGUGUCUGUUCUGAGCCCCUGGACAGGGCCUCCGACCUCUCCCCACCCAGGGAUCCUCAGACAUCCUCUUCACCAGCUUUCUUCAAAACUGGACAUGUCCUACAGGAUAGCAAUUAAGCUGAAGACUGGUUUUCCCUGACUGGUUGCCUUUUUAGGGAACCUCAAGUUUCGAAGGUGGCAGCACCAAGACUUGCCUGGCCUUUGCUGUGCAUUGAGCAGUGAAACGGAAGCCGUGAGCCUUGGACUCGAGCUGCUGACAGAGCAGCCCUCAUGGGAUGUGGCUGUGGAAUUUCCCAUUUCUGUGUGAGAAUCUUUCCUCAGAAGAGCGGUGAGACCCAGCUGUACGUGUGCACAGUCACGUGGCUACAGGGGAAGCAGCACUCACUUGCUCUCCCCUCAGGUCUGCCAGGUGCUGCCCUCUGUCAGCUAGAUGUCUGUCUUCCUCCUCCAGGUGCCCAUCAGGAAGUAUUGGUG